ensembl:lncRNA
AUGGAUUUUUCUGCUUUUUCCCGACAUUUUUUCGCCUUUUUUUUGGGGCUUUUUCCUGGAAUUUCCCCCAUUUUUCCUGACCUUUUCCCAUUUUUUCCUGCCUCUUUCCCACUUUUUUCCUGUUUUCCUUCCCCCUUUUCCCGCCUUUCCCAUUUUUUCCAUCUUUUUUUCCCAGUUUUUUACCCUUUUUUUCCCAUUAUUCUCCCUUUUCCCUGUUUUUCCCCCAUUCCCACCUUUUUCCUGGCUUUUUUUUCCCAUUGUUUUUCCCUUUUUUUUCUAGCUUUCCUCCCAUUUUCCUGGAUUUUUUCCCACUUUUUCCACCUUUCCCCCCAUUCCCAGCCUUUCCCCAUUUUUUCCAUAAUUUUCCCAUUUUUCCCCCAUUUCCUCCCUUUUUUCCUGGUUUUUUCCCAGUUUUUCCCCAUUUUUCCCACUUUUCCAUUUCCCUUUUUUCCAUCUUUUUUUCCAUCAUUUCCCACCCUGUAUUCCAUCAUUUUUCCCGUAAUUUUUCCCAACUUUCCCUCCAUUUUUCCAGCUUUUUUUCCCAUUUUUUCCCACUCCCCGCGUUCUUUUCCAGCUUUUUCCCUUUUCCCCGAUUUUUUUCCCGAUUUUCCGCGUUUCCCGUGGGGACAAUUCCAGGAUUUUUCCAUGGAUUUAUUGGGGGGGUGCCGCCCGUCAGUGCCGGUAGUGGGGGCUCCGCGAGUGGGACCGGGAGUGCCUGCGGGAAACGGGAAAAUCAGCGGGAAUUCCGGGAAAAACGGGAAUUCUGGGAAAANNNNNNNNNNCCGGGAUUUUCUGGGGAUUUCUGGGAAUUUUGGGAAGGGCCCCCCCCGGGGGAGGUGGGAAUUCCGGGAAUUUUUGGGAAUUUCGGGAAGGGUCCCCCCGGGGGAUUUCCCGGGAAUUCCGGGGUUUCCGGGAAUUCCGGACCGUGGCGCGGGGAGGGGCUGCGGCUCUGGCGGCUGUACUGCCGCUCCCACUCCUCCCGCUCCUUCUCCCGCCGCUCCCGCUCCCUGGAAAAACGGGAAGAGAGCCGGAAAACCCCGUCAGGGACCGGGAAAACCGGAAAAGGGACCGGGAAAACGGGAGAAGAGCGGAAAAACGGGAUCAGGGACCGGGAAAAUGGGAUCUGGGAUCAGGAAAAUGGGAAAAAUGGGAUCAGGGACCAGAAAAACGGGAAAAGACACACGGAAAAACGGGAUCAGGGACUGGGGAAAAGGGGAAAAGAGCAGAAAAAUGGGAUCAGGGACCGGGGAAACGGGAAAAGAGACACGGAAAACAGGAUCAGGGACCAGGGAAAGAGCGGAAAAAUGGGAUCAGGGACCAGAAAAACAGGAUCUGGGAUCAGGAAAAUGGGAAAAAUGGGAUCAGGGACCAGGGAAAGGGGAUCAGGGACACGGAAAAACGGGAAAAGGGACCGGGAAAACGGGAAAAGAGCAGAAAAAUGGGAUCAGGGACCAGGAAAAUGGGAAAAGAGCGGAAAAACGGGAUCAGGGACCGGAAAAACAGGAUCUGGGAUCAGGAAAAUGGGAAAAAUGGGAUCAGGGACUGGGGAAAGGGGAUCAGGGACUGGAAAAACGGGAAAAGAGCGGAAAAACGGGAUCAGGGACCAGGAAAAAUGGGAAAAGAGCAGAAAAAUGGGAAAAGAGUGGAAAAACGGGAUCAGGGACACGGAAAAACAGGAAGAGUGGAAAAAUGGGAUCAGGGACACGGAAAAAUGGGGAAAAUGGGAUCAGGGACACAGAAAAACAGAAAAACAGUCGGAAAAAUGGGAUCAGGGCUGGGAAAUUGGGAUCAGGGGUUGGAAAAUCGGGAUCAGGGGUUGGGAAUUCAGGAAAAUCGGGAUCAGGGUUGGAAAAUCAGGAUCAGGGGUUGGAAAAUUGGGAUCAGAGAUGGGAAAUGGGGAUCAGGGGUUGGAAAAUCAGGAAAAUCGGGAACCGGGGUUGGAAAAUCAGGAUCAGGGGUUGGAAAAUUGGAUCAGGGGUUGGAAAAUCAGGAAAAUCGGGAUCAGGGGUUGCAAAAUCAGGAAAAUUGGGAUCGGGGAUUGGAAAAUCGGGAUCAGGGAUUGGAAAAUCGGGAUCAGGGAUGGGAAAUCGGGAUCAGGGGUUGGAAAAUCGGGAUCAGGGGUUGGAAAAUCGGGAUCAGGGAUGGGAAAUC